rnacentral:rRNA from 1 species
UUCGAUACGGCUCAGUAACACGUGGUUAACCUGCCCUUGGGACGGAAACACCCCCGGGAAACUGGGGCUAAUUUCCGAUACGUGAAGGCUCCUGGAAUGGAUCUUCGCCUAAAGGGCGCUUAGGCCAUGCUUCCAGGCGCUGCCCAAGGAUGGGGCCGCGGCCGAUCAGGUUGUUGGUGAGGUAAUGGCUCACCAAGCCUUUAACCGGUUCGGGCCGUGGGAGCGGGAGCCCGGAGAUGGGCACUGAGACAAGGGCCCAGGCCCUACGGGGCGCAGCAGUCGCGAAAACUCCGCAAUACGCGAAGGCGUGACGGGGCUAUCCCGAGUGCCGUCCGCUGAGGAUGGCUUUUCCCCAGUGUAGAUAGCUGGGGGAAUAAGGAGAGGGCAAGUCUGGUGUCAGCCGCCGCGGUAAUACCAGCUCUCCGAGUGGUGGGGACGUUUAUUGGGCCUGAAGCAUCCGUAGCCAGCUGAGCAAGUCCCCAGUUAAAUCCAGCGAUUUAAUCGUUGGACUGCUGGGGAUACUGUCCGGCUAGGGGGUGGGAGAGGCCGACGGUAUUCCCGGGGUAGGGGUGAAAUCCUAUAAUCCCGGGAGGACCACCAGUGGCGAAGGCUGUUGGCUAGAACAUGCCCGACGGUGAGGGAUGAAAGCUGGGGGAGCGAACCGGAUUAGAUACCCGGGUAGUCCCAGCUGUAAACGAUGCAGGCUAGGUGUUAGGGCGGCCACGUGCCGCUCUAGUGCCGCAGGGAAGCUGUUAAGCCUGCCGCCUGGGGAGUACGGCCGCAAGGCUGAAACUUAAAGGAAUUGGCGGGGGAGCACAA